UGCUGGGGGAGGAUUCACAUCAGAUUGCGUGUUAUCUAGUCUUAUUAGAUCAGAGUUUUCACCGAACAACUGAAGAAAAUGUUUCACAUGUUUGUUUUGUUCUGUUUGUGUUGGUGGCGUCUGAUUGCUUCACAUUUUCCAGGUGUGUUUGGUGAGUCAGUAUCUAUGAUGGAGGGAGAAUCAAUCGCUCUAAACUCUGAUGUUACUAAAAUACGUGACGAUGAAGACUUACUGUGGAAAUUUGGAGCUGAAAAGACCCUGAUAGCUGAAAUCAGUAAAGCUGCUGGAAUCUCCUCCACAUAUAAUGGUACUGAUGGGAGAUUCAGAGACAGACUGAAGCUGGACGAUCAAACUGGAUCUCUGACCAUCACAGACAUCACAACUGAACACGCUGGAGUUUACGAACUACUGAUAAGUGGAGCAAAACGGUUGUUAAAAACAUUUAAUGUUUCAGUUUAUGCUCAUCUGUUCACACCUAACAUUACUAGAGAAACUUCACAAUGUUCUUCAUCUUCGUCAUCUUCACAGCAGAAUUGUUCAUUGGUGUGUUCAGUGGUGAAUGUGGGUCAUGUGACUCUCUCCUGGUACAAAGGAAACAGUUUAUUGUC